AUUGAGUGCUUACCGUUAUUACCCUGUGGGCUAGAGCUCUUUUAGUUCUUUAACGCAGAUUUUGUUGAGUACCCUUUAGUGAAAAUAUAAAAAUUCCAUGCUGGGCAAAUGUAUUUCUAAUCGUCUUUGGGGUGAAUAACGAGGAGCGUUGGGUAGCAACGCAUCCCUGACGUCACUUGCAUAGGAGACCCAAGACGCGACGAGGGUAAGUGCCUAUUCUUUAUUGACAGUAGUUGACAUGGAGUACGCUACAGGCGCUGCGGAUUAUACGGCAACUACAGCCAAGAAAGAAUACGAGUUAACCCCACGGCAUCCUCGAUCUCCGUCUAAGCAUUUGACGUCAGGGCAGAAUCUCGCGUACCCAGCGUUCUUGGUUCCCCUAUUUAUCGUCUUUGGUUAACAAAAGAUUAAUUUGAGAAUUAGAUUACUGCUUCUGUUGAGUGAGUCGUUUUUUGAAUGUUACCGCCCAUGAGUGAGUGCCCACAGUGUACAAAUACGUUUUAAACCGUCUUUGGUUAGAAAAAGAAUUCAGGAUUUGGAUUACGCCAUCGGAUGAUAAAUUCAAAGCAAAUUGAAUUGUAUACAACGAAGAUUUUGCGCUUGGAAAGAUGGGAGAAUCCUCGUUAGAACUACAUAAGAGCACUAUGGAAUGGUAUAACAAAACUCCUCGAGUUUCUGGGCAACUGUAAAAAUGAACCAGUGAUGUGGAAUUCAUGGUCACCACAUCAUAAGAACCGAUAUACUGUUUGUGAUACCUGGAAAACAAUUGAAAUCAACAGGAACAUGAAGUUUUCUGUUCAAGAACUGAAAAGACAAGACCCUUUCAUGGUGUCCUUUAGAAAACGCUCAUCUGAAAAGUGGAGAUAGGAUGAAUGAUUUUUACACGCCAACAUGGUUUGUAUUUGAAACAAUGCCAGGAUUCUUGUUGGAUGAAUAUGGUCCAUGACACAAUAAAAACAGAGAUCAAGAAACUUGAAGACAGCACUUAUAAUGAGACUUGAACAGACUGAUGCUGAAAAUGAAGCAUUUGGGUUACCCUCGGGCAGUUCAGCUUCCUUAAAAAGGAAACUUAAUGAGACAGAGGACUGCAAAUUGAAAAUUAAUCGGGCAUUUUCUUUACUUACAAGUAGUGGCAGAAAGACCCUAAAAGGAAAAGGAGAUACAUGUACAUUUUUUGGGAAUUUUUGGGAGCUAAACUUCAGGUGAUGGGUGAGGACUUUUUUUUUUUGUAAAGGGAAUUUGCUGUGUAGUGUAUAAAUUACAUUUUUUCUUUUUUUAUGCAAAGAGGAUGGUGUCUGCAAAGAGAGAUGGGCACAGGAGUGACAGUGGACAUUUACAAUCUUAUGAUUAUUCUGCUAAUACAUUACAAUUGAUGUAGAUACAGUGCUUAAAUAAAAUAAUUUUCUGUCCUCUACAAAAUA